rnacentral:lncRNA from 1 species
GGGAUACGGAAGGCACCGUGAUAGACAUCUGGGCAAGUCAACAGGAAGGUGGAUAUCCAAAUCUCUCUCUUCGCAAUGAGUUUCCAGUUAGAUGGAGGAGAGAGUAAUAAAACACAGAGCUGAGAUUCCUGACUUCACAGAUCCCUGAGGAGAUGUUUACUAAAGGGAAUCUUCUGGUCACUGUUACCUUCCUCCGUACUUACCUGCCUCAUGGAUAACACUGAAGAAUGCAGUUUACUUACAUCUUUUUCUGUUUGACAGAAGACAGUUAUUAGAACCCGAAAGGAAGAAGCUAUACGACUGGGGACACAUGUCUUAGAAGCACACUCAUUAGAUAAAGUGUCGCAUACUCUUUGAUAAGAGGUUGCUGAAGUCAAAAGCAGCUCACUCCCAGUUCACUGAGCUUGAGUUCCGGCUGCAACUUGGCCUUGAGAUUUUUGAAACGUUGAUAUGGAAGAUAAAGAAAAACGCAGAUUCCUGUCUUCUAAGGAACAAAGGCUGGAAGACAGUUCUGCAGAUUCUGCCUUUGAGGGAUUAGAGGGAUGUGCCCAGGACCAGAUCUUCAGUUAUGCAAAUAUACCUUAGAGACCACAGUAAGAAAGACAUCGCUCUGAAAUGCUCUGGUCCCAAGGAAAAUAUUGCUCUAUAUAAUAAUGGAAAACGUUGUCUGUGUAUCAUGCUGAGCUGCAUUUUAUUUUGUACCCUUGAGAGAGCUUUUAUUUUCUUAUAAAUAAGGAUUGGUCUUGUUCUGGGUCUGAAAA